AUACAAGAACGUAAAGCACUAAAAGAUCUAAAGUAAGACUCAGAUCUAGUUAUUAAACCAGCAGACAAAGGGAGGGGGAUAGUUUUAAUGUCAAAAGAGUUUUAUCAUAAAGAAGCAGAAAGAAUUCUAAUGGAUGAAGACACUUACAAAAAACUAAAAACAAAUCCAAGUAAUAAAAUCAAUCAAAUCUUUUUUGAAAAUUUUUAGUAAAGGCUUAGAUCUAGAAAUGUUAAAUCACAAAGAAUUAAUUUUUUAAAAACAUUUUACACCCUAAAAUCCCAGUAUUCUAUUUUCCUCCCAAGGUGGACAAAUUUGUGUGUGGACACAUUCAUAUGGAG